UGCAGUCGAACGAUGAACCACUUCGGUGGGGAUUAGUGGCGAACGGGUGAGUAACACGUGGGCAAUCUGCCCUUCACUCUGGGACAAGCCCUGGAAACGGGGUCUAAUACCGGAUACGACUACUGAGGGCAUCCUUGGUGGUGGAAAGCUCCGGCGGUGAAGGAUGAGCCCGCGGCCUAUCAGCUUGUUGGUGAGGUAACGGCUCACCAAGGCGACGACGGGUAGCCGGCCUGAGAGGGCGACCGGCCACACUGGGACUGAGACACGGCCCAGACUCCUACGGGAGGCAGCAGUGGGGAAUAUUGCACAAUGGGCGAAAGCCUGAUGCAGCGACGCCGCGUGAGGGAUGACGGCCUUCGGGUUGUAAACCUCUUUCAGCAGGGAAGAAGCGAAAGUGACGGUACCUGCAGAAGAAGCGCCGGCUAACUACGUGCCAGCAGCCGCGGUAAUACGUAGGGCGCAAGCGUUGUCCGGAAUUAUUGGGCGUAAAGAGCUCGUAGGCGGCUUGUCACGUCGAUUGUGAAAGCCCGAGGCUUAACCUCGGGUCUGCAGUCGAUACGGGCUAGCUAGAGUGUGGUAGGGGAGAUCGGAAUUCCUGGUGUAGCGGUGAAAUGCGCAGAUAUCAGGAGGA
rnacentral:rRNA from 1 species